GCCAGGAGUCUUUCCAGCAAAAAAUUGGACGGGGACACGUCAGGAUCCACAAGCAUUCCGACUUCUCACCAGGGAGGCAGGCCUGGCCAACCACGAGGGCCUCGUCCACACCUUCCCUACCUCCACUCUCUCCUCCAACAGAGAGGAUGGCCUUGGGAAGAACGUCUCCCAUUUGCACGACGCUGAACGGUUUGCAAAGUGCCGCACACUAUACACAGGGCUUCACAUCCACUGUCACAUUUAAUGGAGGUGGUGGGGGCGGUAUCCUCUGCCCGCCGCCCCCACCAUCCACAAUUCUUGGCUUAGGAAGGUCUGAUGAAUCCAGCUUGAGUUCAGCCUCCAAAGAAGGGGGAGGGAUGGGGACAGGCCAUCUGUAGACCCCAGAGAGAGCUGCUGAGCCAGGAAGUCACCAGGGUCAAAGCUAUUCAGGAUGGACAUGGCCAGGUGUCAGCUCUGAGCAGGGAGCUCAGGCUGAAGGGAAUGUAGCAAAGAGCUAGCCAGGAACGUGUCGCCCUCCCCACCCACCUUGAUCCCAAAGCUGAUGAGAUGCCUGGGUAGCCAUGAAAAUGAUCGUGUCUAUCAGAGCAGCAGGAGCCCAAGAAAGGAGGAGCUCAGAUGGAGGGCCUCUCCGCCAGGAGUGCGGAGCGGAGGCAAGACCGGGACGUGUGAUGAUUAAGUGCAGGCCUUGACCACUAGUUACUCCUAUGAA
rnacentral:lncRNA from 1 species